rnacentral:tRNA from 1 species
GCGGGUGUGGCGGAACUGGUAGACGCACUGGAUUUAGGUUCCAGCGCCGCAAGGCGUGGAGGUUCGAGCCCUCUCACCCGCA